CUUGGUCUAAAGUUGGACGAAAUUCUUACAACUCUAGUAUAGAGAUUUGGUACAUGGGUUUAAGGAAGAAAAGAGAAGAAAGGGUUCUUCUUAUGAUCUCUAAAGUAGAGAUCAAUAUCCUUCUAUCUUCUUCUUUUUCUCUAAGAGUGUCUUGAGAGAAAAAAAAAUUUUUAACUGUCAAGAUGUGAUCUCUGCAAGGGAGCUAGCACCCCGGUGAGAUCAAUAAGCUUGUGAUCAGAUCGAAAUCUCAUAUGGAUAUCCGUAGAGGUC
rnacentral:lncRNA from 1 species